AUGUCACUAGGACUGCCAAGAUUCACAAUCAUGGGAAACUGUUGCCAGUGUUAUGGUAAUAAGGCUUUGGGAAGGAAGAAAUGAUUUCCUAAUUGCUGUGAGCAUGUCUCUGUACUGAGGGUGUCUGUCUUACGGAUGCAGUGUUGGUCUGGUCACCAUCAUUCCUGUUUAGUACAAAACGCGUAUUCAGAAUGUUUUUCCCUGGCUGGUCUGCUCACUGGCGAAUGAGAGUCUCUGGAUAAUAUGUUUGUUUCUAUUAAGUAAUUAUUUUGUAUUUACGAGUUCUUCUUUAAAAAGUUUUCAUAGUGUUACAUAAUCACGUGAAGAAAGCCCAGUGGGUGUUUUUUUUUUUUUUGUCAAAGGAAAAAAAAGUCCCAAAUAAUGGCUCUAGAUGUGACUUACUUACUUCAGAAAGUAAUUACUGUAAACUGUUUAUUCCAGAUUGGAAGAAGGUAUAGACAGAGAGUGUAAUCGUGGGCCGUCUCCUCAGAUGACUGUCAUGAUGCUUUUCUUUGGGCAGCAGUCAUGUUGAGUUUCCCGAAUAUGCUCAACCUGUGAGUGGCAAAAUGUAGGUGCUGACGGGUAUCGGCUUUUUAUCUGGCUGUUGGUGAGGGAGAGUGGAGGACUUUUUACUUCCUGGUGUCUUUUCUCAAAAGUAUUAUAAACAAGCUCAGUUGUCCCCUUUCUGGGGGUUCCGGUUUGCUACAUUUUUAGCCUGACAAUACUGGUAAGUAAGUAUUGACUUACUGGGAAUCCUGGAGACUUCUGAAAGUUCUAGAUGAGGCAUCAGUCAGUAGUAACCAGUGGUAACAGCUGUGUCUGUUACUCCCAGCUUUGCACUUUGAGUACUUUUCACCCUGUAUUAAGUGUGAGUAAGCCUCUGUGUUCUCGCUGAUGGCAUACAGAGACUGCAUGUUGUAGCAGUUCAUGUCACAAGCUGACUGUGUCCCUCCGUUUCUCCGGGCCCCUCUCCACGCUCGAUCUCUUUUAAAUCUGCAGAGUGCUGUGUGUACUGUGUGAUGGAUGCAGUAUGACUUUAUGAACAUAACAGAGCUUUCUUCCUUGGAAGUACUUGUUGGGAUAGCAUUUGCCUCACAGAGAGGCAUCCUUCCCCAGCCCCCACCUAUGCCAGACAAAGGAUGCCUUGAAAACACUGAGAGAAGCAAGCAUGGGGUCCCAGAGGCAUCUCUUCAGAGCUCUCUUCCGGUGUUGGACAGGUGUUCUGGUGGCUUGCUCCAAGUGCUUUAAAUAGCCUCAGAAUUACCACUUGGUGUCAGUGUGAGGUGGUAUUCAUUUUGCUUCCCAUGAGUCUCCCAGUACCAUAUGUGAUUUAGAAUGCUCUAUGUGGCUUCCUCUGUUGACAUCUGUGAUUUCACCCCAUAGGUCCUACAGAGAAAGCCUUCCUUCUUCUGAUUCCUCCUCAGGCCAUUUCACUAUCUCAAUAUGGUAAUUUCCCCCCUUGCCUGUGACCGGGUGGACUGGAACUAGAAAUGUCCUUGUGCUGUCGAAAACAGCUCUGUAACCAUGCGCGAUUCUGUCUUCCUUAAUUAUUUUCUGGGCAAAUGGCUUUAAAAAAUAUUUAAGGGACACACAACAAUUAGAGCAAUUAUGAGGGGUUUGUUGUCGUAGGAGACUAAUUCUUAAAACUCAUCCCCUUGAGCCAGCCGAAAAGGAGGAGCUGAAGUCACGCUCUGCUCUGCUCCCAUCUGCAAAUGACUUUAUCAUGUUUGAGCUUUUGUUUUGUGUUUUAUAUGUAGCGAUAGCAGAGUACCUAUCAUUUAAAUAUUUAAAUGUUUCCUCUCUUUAUGUAAAUAAGGGAACUAAGCAAUCAAACACCUUCUGGGCGAUCCUAGCAGAGGACUUUAUCAACCAUUUCAAAUGUACAUGUAACAAUGAGCCCCUGUAGGAAACGCGCAUCCCAAUGUCUGUCUGCCGAGGUUGGAAAUGUAAAUACUGAGAUGUUUCAGACCCUCUAAAGUCUGACGCCAACUGCGAGGCAGCAGGUCGGUCACCCUAUUUUUAUUAGGUUUUGAAGGUUUUAAUUUUCAUUCUUAUCUAAAUGUACAGUAGAGUGGUGUCUGUCUGUCGACUGUAGUGGGGUUUGUCCGGCAAGCCUGAACUUUAUACUUUGAAAUAAAUGACUGGGUUUUUAAC
rnacentral:lncRNA from 1 species